rnacentral:rRNA from 1 species
UACGAAGGGGGCUAGCGUUGCUCGGAAUCACUGGGCGUAAAGCGCACGUAGGCGGGUCCUUAAGUCAGGGGUGAAAUCCCGGAGCUCAACUCCGGAACUGCCUUUGAUACUGGGGAUCUUGAGUCCGGAAGAGGUGAGUGGAACUCCGAGUGUAGAGGUGAAAUUCGUAGAUAUUCGGAAGAACACCGGUGGCGAAGGCGGCCCACUGGUCCGGUACUGACGCUGAGGUGCGAAAGCGUGGGGAGCAAACAGG